GACGAGCGCUGGCGGCGUGCCUAAUACAUGCAAGUAGAACGCUGAAGGAGGAGCUUGCUUCUCUGGAUGAGUUGCGAACGGGUGAGUAACGCGUAGGUAACCUGCCUGGUAGCGGGGGAUAACUAUUGGAAACGAUAGCUAAUACCGCAUAACAGUAGAUAUCGCAUGAUAUCUACUUGAAAGGUGCAAUUGCAUCACUACCAGAUGGACCUGCGUUGUAUUAGCUAGUUGGUGAGGUAACGGCUCACCAAGGCGACGAUACAUAGCCGACCUGAGAGGGUGAUCGGCCACACUGGGACUGAGACACGGCCCAGACUCCUACGGGAGGCAGCAGUAGGGAAUCUUCGGCAAUGGACGGAAGUCUGACCGAGCAGCGCCGCGUGAGUGAAGAAGGUUUUCGGAUCGUAAAGCUCUGUUGUAAGAGAAGAACGAGUGUGAGAGUGGAAAGUUCACACUGUGACGGUAUCUUACCAGAAAGGGACGGCUAACUACGUG
rnacentral:rRNA from 1 species